CUCCGGUCUGGUUGCAACACUCUUCGCCUAUUGUUUUGGACAAGUAUCUGCUUCUUUUUUAGGACAAGUGUAUCUCGUUGCUUACUGCUCUGUGUUCAUCUCAACAAUCAUCAAAAACAGCAUAAAGAGGCGACCCAACCUAGGAGCAGAGCUUGGUCAUGAAAAAUCUUUUAAUUACAUCACUCAUUUCUCCGACCGACGUUCCUUCUACAAAUAUAUUUUCUCCAAGUGCUCAAGGUGAUUGGUCCAUUUGGAAGGAAAUCAAGUGCCGGAUGACAGUCAGCUGCAACACCGUUUCAUUCUUAAGCAUACGCCGAAUUCAGACACCACUGUGAUGACAGCGCAGGAAAAACCCAAGCUGUGAAGCAAAUCCGGAUGAAUGUGUGUCCAGGUAAAUCUCU